rnacentral:rRNA from 1 species
AGUGAACGCUGGCGGUAGGCCUAACACAUGCAAGUCGAACGGCAGCACAGUAAGAGCUUGCUCUUACGGGUGGCGAGUGGCGGACGGGUGAGGAGUACAUCGGACUCUACUUUUUCGUGGGGGAUAACGUAGGGAAACUUACGCUCAUACCGCAUACGACCUACGGGUGAAAGCAGGGGAUCUUCGGACCUUGCGCGAUUGAAUGAGCCGAUGUCGGAUUAGCUAGUUGGCGGGGUAAAGGCCCACCAAGGCGACGAUCCGUAGCUGGUCUGAGAGGAUGAUCAGCCACACUGGAACUGAGACACGGUCCAGACUCCUACGGGAGGCAGCAGUGGGGAAUAUUGGACAAUGGGCGCAAGCCUGAUCCAGCCAUACCGCGUGGGUGAAGAAGGCCUUCGGGUUGUAAAGCCCUUUUGUUGGGAAAGAAAAGCAGCAGGUUAAUACCCCGCUGUUCUGACGGUACCCAAAGAAUAAGCACCGGCUAACUUCGUG